rnacentral:lncRNA from 1 species
UGGGAGACUGGGAGGCUGAGCUCCCCUCCAGGCCUGCUACCUCACAGCAGGGGUCUGGGGAGGUCCCUGCCCGACUCUCCUUCUUUGGCUCAGUCCUGGCCGUGGAGGAACCUGCUUUCCAGCCUCGACGGCCUCGCUCGUCCCCCGGCCCCUAUGCUGGUGGCUCUCUGCCAGCUUCUGCCCGUGGGGCUGUGUAUGAUGGUCUGAGGAGGCGACCUGCCCACCCGUCCAGUUGGAGGGGCCCCUGAGGGCCCCCAGCCAUCCCCAGAUUCAAGUUCCUGAAGAGAGAGCCAGGUUGAAGCAACCUGCUGCUGGCUGGAGGAAGGUGGGACUUGCCUUGAUAGCUCCAUAGAGACAGCUCACCAUCCAGAAGAGGUACAGGAAACUGAAGACUCAUUACCAACAGGAGAAGCCUAGGCAUCCGGUGGUUCAAAAACAGCAAAUGUUCACUCCAGUGGGAAUGAUGAGGCUAGUGAGGGAGCAGAAGCCACAUCUCAAAGAACCUGUAAGUCAUGCUAGGAAGUGUGGGAAUUUCCCUGAUGAAAUGGGGAAUAAAUGAAAGGUUUGGAGCAGGAAAGUCACAGAUUCCAUUUCCAUUUUAGAAAGAUAGCUCUGGCUGCUGAGAACAUCCAAGCCCCUGCACUAAGAGACUAAACUCUAGCAUGGCUUCUAGCAGCCUAAGCUCAGGGCACUGGAACAAUCAAGCCCCUUUGAGUUCCUGACAGGAAAAGCUCGAGGCUGCCAAAAGAAUUUACCCUUGUUCCAGCCAACAUCUUGAGAGAGACUCCCUUUUCUUAGAGCAUUUUUUAAAAAAGCCUACAAUUGUAAAUUCUUCUUCUGUCCCUUUGAGAUGUCUCUGUAUCUCCCAUAGCCCAAGAGUGUCUUUCUUAAGGCUGGCUGAGCCAUUCCUUUGAAGUGUAAUCAUAAGGCUAGGGCCCCCUUCUCCCAGUUUCAGUGGGAGGGUAGAAGCCUAACUUCAGUAAAUGCCAGUUAGCAGACACAGAUUGGCUAACCACACUGACACAGACUACUUACCAUUUUUUGUAAAUUUUUACUUCCUUGACUCUGCUUGAGCUUCCACUCACACCUCCCCACCUCCCUCAUUCUCCUUUUAAAACAGUAGGUCGCCUCAGAGCUGAACUCCUAUACACUGGGAUUUCUC